AUUGAACGCUGGCGGCAGGCCUAACACAUGCAAGUCGAACGAGUGGCGGACGGGUGAGUAAUGUCUGGGAAACUGCCUGAUGGAGGGGGAUAACUAGUGGAAACGGUAGCUAAUUCCCCAUACCAUCGGAUGUGCCCAGAUGGGAUAAGCUAGUAGGGGGGGUAAAGGCUCACCUAGGCGACGAUCCCUAGCUGGUCUGAGAGGGUGACCGGCAACAUUGGAAUGAGACCACGGUCCAGACUCCUACGGGAGGCAGAAGUGGGGAAUAUUGCCCAAUGGGGUCAAGCCGGAUGAAGCCAGGCCGGUUGUAUAAAGAGGGCCUUCGGGUUGUAAAGUACGUUCAGCGGGGAGGCGGUACCCGAAGAGGAAGCACCGGCUAACUCCGUGCCAGCAGCCGCGGUAAUAC
rnacentral:rRNA from 1 species